GUUCCACUAUUUUAAGGCUUAGGCCUGCGUUUUGGUCAGAGUUAAACUGAAGGAAACAAGAUAAAUGAUUUGGUUCCUGUUUUACCAUAAAUACCACAUCAGAGUUAAACUGAAGGAAACAGGUCUUGGUCAUUUGAGCUCUAGUGGGUCUUUUCUUUCUAGAACUUCACCCAUUCUUCUAUCCCACAACACUGACAUUUGGGUACAUAACCGAGGACGCAUGAUAGUUUGAUUAGCAUAACCACAAAAACGAAACUGAAGAAAAUAUUUCGUUAUGCACUAAAUAAUGGAAGGAGUUUUUUCCUGCAAACCCUAAAACCCAAUCAAAAAGUUCAGCUGUGUUUUCUUCUUCCCUAAUUGGCUAAGCCCUAAUCUCACCGGCCCCAGAAAAGUUGUAGUCCCCAAGGAUUUACCGAGCUCAGAUCUGAUGUGAUUGAUGGUCAAUUUCUUUUACUGAUGGUGAUUCAAAAAGGUUGCUUGUCUCAAUGGAUUUCAUAUCGACUCAAAGCUACUUGGAUUUUCGAUUCUCAUCAUGCUUUCAACCAGUCAAGCCGCCGGUUGCAGAAGAAAUUAAAUCACAAACUCAAAUGUACCACUAUUCAUCUUUCUCUCUGAUAUCAUCAACCCACUUAGGAAAUCCCAGAAACUUUUGUAUUUCAUCCUUGAGAUUCAAAAUCAAGAGGUGUCACAAUUGUAUGCUUACAUCUAGUUUUUAACCUAAUUAAACACUGACUGCUGCUGAAACCAUCUGCUUUUCAAUCCUGUUUAAAUCCUUGUUUCCUGCAAUUGUUAUUCAAGAAGUUUUCCAAAACUUUUUUUGGUAAUCAUUAACCUUGACUUAGUUAUUGAUCUGCUCUAUAAAUAUAUAACUCAUUCUCAGUAUGUAUCCACCAUACUCUCAUAAUGCUUUAUCCCCUGCCUUUAAAGUUUCUCUAGUUGAUAUUCUCAUUUCAUUGAGUAAGUUUGUAAGUUUUUCGUUGGUUUUGUUUUGUUUAUGUUAGCUUGAUGUUUUGUUGCCACGUCUAGGCUCUGGCAAGAAUAAUAGAGCUUUCUCAAGCCAUCAAAAUCAGUUUAAUUCUUAUAGUUAUCCUGUUAGGCAAUGGAAGCAUAAGCUUGUUGGUGGUUCUUAACCAGGUUGAACAAUAACUCUUUUGUAGUCAGAAAUGCUUUAAGCUACAGAUGGUGUAUUGAAGGUGGUUUUUCUGUAAGCAAGUUUAGUAAAUUUUACUUUCUAAUCAAAUUUGAAUCUCGUCAGGAAAUGUUUAGAGUCUUCAGGCAGGGGACUAGAGUUAUUUUUGGAGAUAUUUUCAUGAUUCAACAAUGGGAACCUUACCUAAACCCUAUAACUUUCUCUAUGAACUUUGAAGUUUUUGAAAUUGUAUUGCAUAAUUUAACACAAUUCCAAGCUCGGUUUCUCAAUGUCAAGCAAAUCACUUCAGAACUAAGUGAACUUAUUUAUUGUUUUGCACCCUUUCAAUCUAGUAAUGGUUUCAGCAACAUGUAAAUUAGGUUAAGAAUCAAGUUAUCUCAACACCUUAUCUUUGGUACUUCAGCACCAAAUUAAUUCAAUGAUGUUAACUUGAUUGCUUUUCAGUUCUUGGAUUUUCCUAGGCUCCUUUGCAGUUUUUUGUAAAAGAUUAGGCAACUUAGCUGAGGAUGCAUUGAACUUUUUAUUAUGACACACCAUGGCAUGCAUAUACCUCACCCUCUCCAACCAGCUCCUUUGGAGUAUAUGUCUGAACCUGAUGAUAAAUACACCGAAGAAGAGAGGUACAAUGUAGACUGAGAUGAACUAGACUCUGACUGGAGCGAUUGGAUCUUAGAAUUCUACCCCCUACUCCAAGACCUUCGCCUAUCUCCUCGGAUCAGGAACAGUCGGAUUUCUCUUUUUCUGAAGGAGAUCAAGCCUUUGAAAGAUACAAUCAAAGUGGUUUUAAUUCGUAUAUGUUCUUGGAUUCUGAUAGAACUCAAUCUGAUGAGUUUAACAGCAAAUAGCCUCAGCUCCAAUGCAUUGGAGGCAUAACAUAUAGCUUCACAAGGCUCUGUACAAGUUGAAGAAGAGGCAUCUCCAUUGUGUCAUCUUAGUCCCAGAAGCCCUACUAACUUCAUUACCUCUGAUAUAGAUCCAGAUUUUGAGUUGGUUUCAGAUGCAGACUCAAGCUCCCCUCACAAGAUUUCAGGCCUGGUCAUAAAAGAAUGAACCCCGAACAACAGAACUUUCUACAUAUCUCUGGUAUUGGCUCCUCAUCUGAAGCACACGACUCAAUGAGAAUUUCAAGUGAUGAAUUAGAGUAAUGGAGAUCUCAGUAUAAUCCUAGCAAAAGAUUCAAAUAUGCAACAAGGGGACAUCCUUCCACUAGUAAGGCAGGCAACUUCAAACCCAACAACAACAGCAGCAACAACAACAACAACAACAGUAGCAACAACUACCAAUAAUGGCCCAUCAUCGCAUAUCUGAGCUCAACCCUGAUUCCUUAUCAAGCUACAUAUUGGGGACGGUGGAUAAUCCACAUUUUUUUGUCUACGGUCUCCUUUUUACAGCUACUUUUUUACUAGUGAGUCUCUAAAUAGGUUUAUCUAACAAUUUCUGUAUUUCUUCGCUUAGUUUGUGUGUUCAGUUUGUUUCAUGAUUUUGGUGUGUAUUAUCCUCUCUGCUAUUUAGAGUGCUUUUGUAGUGAUAGUGUCUUUUAGAGUUUGCCUAGGUUAGUGUCGCUUUGAAGCUACUCUGCUUACAUAGUUUUUUUGGAUCAACCCAGUUCUUGUUGCUUAUUUUGUAUGUAAUAGCUUCUGAAGUUUCAGUGUGUUUAGUCAGUUAUUUGAUAUAGUGUA